UGAUGAUAUUCUAAUUAUAUGACCAGCACCUGCAUAUACUGAUAUGGACUGGGUAAUGUGUUAGGAACGAAAGGAUGCCACAUCGUUUAAUGGAAAUGAAAAUGAUCAACCUACAGCGGGCUGAAUUGAAAGACACCCCGAAAAAUGAAAGUAAAAAAAUGAUGCAGCAGUCCAUUUUGCUGAAAUUUCAUUGCAGCAAAUCAAAAUGGUACUCAGUAGUAUGUAUGGCCCCCACGGGCUUGUAUGCAUGCCUGACAACGUCGGGGCAUGCUACUUAUGAGACGAUGGCUGGUGUCCUGGGCUUUUUCCUCCCAGAUCUGGACCAAGGCGGCACUGAGCUCCUGGGCAGAGGUGCAACCUGGCAGGUUCAAAUGGACCGAAACAUAAUGUCCUAGAGGUGUUCUAUUGGCUUUAGGUCUGGCAAGCUUGGGGGCCAUUCAAUCGUGUCAAUUCCUCCGUCCUCCAGGAACUGCCUGCAUACUCUCACCACAUGAGGCCGGGCAUUGUCGUGCACCAGGACCCACUGCACCAGCGUAGGGUCUGACAAUGGGUCUAAUGAUUUCAUCCCGAUACCUAAUGGCAGUCAGAGUGCCAUUGUAUAGCCUGUAAAGGUCUGUGCGUCCCUCCAUGGAUAUGCCUCCCAGACCAUCACUGACCACCACCAAAAUCGGUAAUGCUGAACAAUGUAACAAGCAGCAUAGCUUUCUUUUACGGUGUCUGCAGACCCUUUCACGUCUAUCACAUGUGCUCAGGGUGAACCUGCUCUCAUAUGUGAAAAGCACGGCGCCAGUGGCGGACCUGCAAAUUUUGGUGUUCUAUGGCAAUUGCCAAUCGAGCCCCACCGUGCCGGGCAGUGAGCACAGGGCCCACUAGAGGACGUCGGGCCCUCAGGCCACCCUCAUGAAGUCUGUUUCGGAUUGUUUGGUCAGAGACAUCCACACCAGUGGCCUGCAGGAGGUUAUUUUGUAGGGCUCUGGCAGUGCUCAUCCUGUUCCUCCUUGCACAAAGGAGCAGAUACCGGUUCUGCUGAUGGGUUAAGGACCUUCUACGGCCCUGUCCAGCUCUCUUAGAGUAACUGCCUGUCUCCUGGAAUCUCCUCCAUGCCCUUGGGACUGUGCUGGGAGACACUGCAAACCUUCUGGCAAUGGCACGUAUUGAUGUGCCAUCCUGGAGGAGUUGGACUGCCUAUGCAACGUCUGUAGGGUCCAGGUAUCGCCUCAUGCUAUUAGUAGUGACACUGACCCUAGCCAAAUGCAAAACUUGUGAAAAACAGUCUGAAAAGAUGAGUAGGGAAAGAAAUGUCAAUGGCCUCCACCUGUAAAACCAUUCUUGUUUUGGGGUCAUCUCAGUGUUGCCCAUCUAGUGCACCUGUUGUUAAUGUCAUUAACACCAAAGCAGCUGAAACUGAUUAACAACCCCCCCUGCUACUUAACAGACCAGAUUAAUAUCCCAGGAGUUUAAUUGACUUGAUGCUAUAAUCUGAUUAAAAAGUGUUCCUUUAAUUUUUUUGAGCAGUGUAUUUUAGGAUUGUCACGGCUGCAGAGUGGUGCGUCUUUAACUUUUACUUUCCUUCCAAAGCAGAUUAACGAUGGUUCAGCAUUUCCAUUUAGUUUUAAACCCUAAUACUGCCAAUAUGAACAACUUAUUUUAAGCCGUAGUUCUCAAUUUGUGCCAGCAAAUUGAUGCAGACGUGGCGGCUGAGUGGGAUGUUGCAUGGACAAUGGAUGUGUUUGACUGCAUGCUGAGCUGCGCACCCUCCCACGUGGAUCGGCGGAUCUCCCACGAGCACUAUGCAAAUGCAUAUAGAGAAAUCAACUACAGCUCUUUACUAAAAGUGACGCCUGUUAAGAAAACAAAGCAUAUUUUUUGUGCAAUUACUACCUGUCAGUAUUUUUACACAGAUAUUGGUAUAUCUGUUAGUAAAAUCUGUCAAUUUUAGCAAUCCUUGAUGCAUUUUAUGCCAGUGGUGACCGCUCAAAAAUGAAGAAAGGGCAUUUUUUGUGUUCUUUUUUCAAAAUUUGCAUGCCUGUAACUCCAGAAACGUUAGAGAUACAUUAAUGGCCUUUUAGAUUCUUGUACUUGACCAACCUUUCUUUUGGGAACUACAUUUUUAAGGCCCUAUAUGGUUCAGUCUGAGAGAUAAAGGGAUCUAACUGUGGCAUCAUGAGAACUUUUCAAAUGUACACAUUUUUAGUCAUCAAGAACCAAAUGUGGGUCAUUUUUCAAAAAUCUGGUACUAGAUGCUACAUUGAGCCGGGGACCUCUGGUUGAGAUGACACGGAAUGACCCUGGAUUAUACCUUAAUAUUUACUAUGGUACAGUUCAAUAACACUGUAGCAUCUAGGAAUUUUACUACAGCUUACUAUAAUAAGUAAUCAAGUAUACUGACUGGAUAUUGGACUGGCACUUUAUUACUGUUAAUACACACCAUUUUAUGCUUUGAUAGUUAAAUGUUUUGUUGAACUAAGCAGUGAUGAUAUGUUUACAUCACAUGUCAAAUCGCUUGUUGCGCCCCCUCCAAAAAAUUGUGCACCAGCUGCCACUGGCCAUUCACCCUAUUUUAAACAACUGUAAAUUCGAUCUAACUAGUUUCCAUACCCUUACGGUAAAACUAUGCUAAUUCCACGUGGCAUGGGUGAAAUGAAGUUACACAUUUAAUCCAUUUUCUACUACUUAAUUACCUGAAAAAAAAUCAGCCUUUAUUUGUAAUCAUUUAUUGCACUGAAAACUGAAAUAAUUCAGUGCAGUAUUGCAGGUUGUUAGAAGGUGUUCCUGGCUAGAAGGUGUGUCCUAGAAACAUUUAUAAACAAACCCUGCAGAAACUGACAGGAGAUGGAUGAUGUGAGGUAGUCGCUCCUGAAAGUCGCUCAUCAUUUGCAUAAAGUUGAGCAAAUCUCAACUUUGUCGAGUCGCUAGACAUGCCCACUUCCUGUUGCCAACAGUCACUGUCGCUGGUGGUCUGAAAGGGGCGUAAGUAACCAAACCACUCCUGAUAGUGCUGGUCCAUCCGCAAGACAACCCCUUUACUCUGGCAGCCAGUGGGAAAAUGAAUGAGGAAAGUGUGCAUGAGUGCCACCUAGCUGUGACCAAGUUUGUAGUGAAAAGCCUACACCCAUUCUCAACAGUGGAGUCCUAGAGCUUUAGGGAGAUGUGCGAGGUACACAACCCCAAAUAUACCCCACCCUCCAGGGGUUUAUCUCAUUGACACAUUCAUUCUUACCUGGUAUAUGGGAUACAAAAAGCCAGAUCAUCAGAUCACCAUACAUCAGAUGGGUGGACCAGCCUCUGUCAGGACCACUCUUUAACCGUGACGGUGCACUACACACGCCAAGGCAGAUUGAAACAAAAGUUCCAUUGAUAAAUGGACAGCCAGGAUAAGAACAGUGUUGACUGAAAAGCAGCAGCUCCUUGGACUCCCACAACAUUCACUCAUCCUUGAUGUGAAAACCAGAUGGAAUUUAUAUCUAAUGGUAGAGAGAUUCUUGGAGCAGUAUCCAGCAAUCCAAGCAGCAGCCUUGGACCCACGGCUGCGAAAAGUGAUGACAAAAGUCAACCUGGAGCGGAAUUUAUCCUUAUGAAAAUCCUUUAUACAUCGACACUGUGUGUGUCAUGUGAAAGUAAUCCCAUCAGCGGACAGAUAAUUCCUAUCCUCCAUGAACUAGAAGAGCAUUUUACAGUGAAGGAUGAAGAUACCAUGUUUGUGUCAGCCAUCAAAGAGAAGGUGUGGGAGAGCCUCUCUGAGCGCUACCGGGAUGAGAACAUUCAAGCCUUUCUGCAUGAGACCACAAUAAUGGUCCCCAGAUUUAAAGGGAGGCCAGUGAGUAACUUCACCUGGAUAGGCUGAGGGAAGGCAGUUGUUGAGGCCAAUGAAAUGCUUAGGAAGAGCUGUUCUCAGAGGAGGAGGAGAGGGAGGUGCAAGAUAAGCCAGGAGAGGCCCAGGCUUCUGCCAGAGAAGGCCGACAUGUUAAUAUUUCUGCAGAAGACCUGUGUUGCUGUUUCUAGUAGUCAUUUGUUAAAAACAUUGCUCUUUCUUUUUGUUAAUAAUGUUUCUUUUAUUUAUUAUGCAUAAAGAAGUCAUAAUUAUGUUAAUGCAGAUCAAGCAAUGUUAAUUCUGUUCUUUGAUGUAUAUAUUUUUUCGAGAAAUAUACAUAAAAUUAUUAUUAAAAAUAUUUCUGUUUCUGUUGUUGU